UCUCCGUUGGUGAACCAGCGGAGGGAUCAUUACCGAGUUUACAACUCCCAAACCCAAUGUGAACGUUACCAAACUGUUGCCUCGGCGGGGUCACGCCCCGGGUGCGUCGCAGCCCCGGAACCAGGCGUCCGCCGGAGGAACCAACCAAACUCUUUCUGUAGUCCCCUCGCGGACGUUAUUUCUUACAGCUCUGAGCAAAAAUUCAAAAUGAAUCAAAACUUUCAACAACGGAUCUCUUGGUUCUG
rnacentral:misc_RNA from 1 species